rnacentral:rRNA from 1 species
CUACCCUUGACAUGCCACUAACGAAGCAGAGAUGCAUUAGGUGCUCGAAAGAGAAAGUGGACACAGGUGCUGCAUGGCUGUCGUCAGCUCGUGUCGUGAGAUGUUGGGUUAAGUCCCGCAACGAGCGCAACCCUUGUCUCUAGUUGCUACGAAAGGGCACUCUAGAGAGACUGCCGGUGACAAACCGGAGGAAGGUGGGGAUGACGUCAAGUCCUCAUGGCCCUUAUGGGUAGGGCUUCACACGUCAUACAAUGGUGCAUACAGAGGGUUGCCAAGCCGCGAGGUGGAGCUAAUCCCAGAAAAUGCAUCGUAGUUCGGAUCGUAGUCUGCAACUCGACUACGUGAAGCUGGAAUCGCUAGUAAUCGCGGAUCAGCAUGCCGCGGUGAAUA